CCCGCCCGAAAUCUCCGCUUCCCUUCCGUUCCUAACCCGGACGCCCCCCGCGGGGGAGGCUCCGGUGAUGGCGGCUCCGAGGGCUGGCGAGAGGCGGCGUCCCUCUCCCUCGCGACGCUCCUCCCCCACGACGCCGCCUCCCCCUCGUGCCCCACGAUGCCGGCGCCCCAUCGACUCCGCCCGCAGAUCGACGAGUGCUGCGGAUGCCGCCUCGCUGCCUAUCCUCGCCCUCCCCAUCUCCCAUCAGCCUCCCUCUCCAUUCGCUCGAUCCACCACAACAUGGCGAGGGCGCGCCGCAGACUCCCCACGGGCGUGACGCCCGACGCCGCGGCGGCCGCCCUUCCUGCCGCGGAUCCCCCAUGCUCCGUGGAUCUGCACCAUCGCCACUCCCGGUCUCCCCUUCGCUCGAGCUCCGGCUGCCUCCAGCCUCCCCCAACCGCGCCACUAGCAGGAGGAGGGCAGUCAGCUCGAGGGCAGUCAGUAGGCUCCAAGCGCUCCGACCUCCAAGAUCCGCGCACCUCCGGCCUCCCCUUCGCUCGAGCUCCGGCUGCCUCCAGCCUCCCCGAACCGCGCCACCAAUGCGGGUCCAUGCCUCCCCGCUCCGGCAUCCCCGACGUGCCUCCCCGCCGACGUCCUCGCGGGCCCUCACAGCCGCCAGGCUCCUCGGCUUUCUGCCGCGCUCGCCAACGCCUCCUCCAACUCCAACGAGCCGGUGCCCUCGAAGUGGACGGCAACACCCCCAAUCCGGCGCAUCCACGAUGAUCCGCUCCGAUCCGUGGCCCCCGCUGUCAGCCCCGGAUUCAGCGUCGCCCCGGGACCGGCAUGCCACGGAACUCGCCCCAUCGUCGGCCUCCCGCUACCGUGUCAAAUCUCUAAUUCGCACCUCAGGUUCAGCAGGAGGAGGGCAGUCAGCUCGAGGCGUGGAGCCGUGGACAGGCGGGAGGAGGAGCUUGGGUGGUGGGCUAUUAGCAGGGAGAAUUGAGGGGAUGGAGGUUGCAUUGUGGGAAAGUAGACGGGCUGCCACCGCUCGGUGCAUGGAGGAAAUGACGGGCGCAGCCGGCUUUGUAUGGCGAGUAUCUUGCUACAUCAAAGCUCUAUGGCGAGGUAUGUGGCCGUCGCCCCUGCCUCCACGAAGCCGUCACCAUUGUCCCCUGUACCAUGAACCUGGUACGUGGCUGUCAGCUCUGCUGGGGCGAAUGCCCGUGCAUUCAACUAAAACCUGAACUGCUUGUCCGUUAAAAUUGCUCACAGAGAGGGCGAGCGGAGUCGAGGUACCAACCUGCAGCAAGCACUAGGAAAGUAAUGAGUUCAGUAUAAUUUUUUAUCUUAUCAUUUUUACUAUCAGUCUGGUGAUUCAUAGUGGCAGUAGUGUAGUUCUAUUCUAUCCUGGUAGUGUCCUACGCCAUUUUAUCAUUUAUACUGAUGAAACCAAGCUAUGGAAUGCAGGUAACAACUAUUCUGACAUUUGCCAUCGAGCUCUACUGGUCGUGUAGUUCUUUUUUUCAAAGGGACAUGCUCUUUUGCAUAAGAAAUAUGGAAUAUUGGAGAAGAAGAAAUAAGUUAGCAGGAGAGUGACAGAUUGCUGCAACUACGGAGCUCAUGAGGUGACCAUCAAUCAGCACUUGUCUUUUCCUUUGACCUACUAAUUUAGUAUCAGGUAAACACAUACCUUUGAUAUAACACAUCUUACUUACAUGCGCCUGGAGGCCUGGACACAUGUUUUUUUUUCAUUUGCAAAGAAAUUAUGGAAAUGUGUGCUCUUUUCCCUUCUCCCUUCCAUUCUCUGCAUGUACACUUAUGCUCUCUUUCUUUUUAUUUUGUUUCUCAACAGAUACUGAAAAUUCUCAUAUUAGGUUGAGAUCUAAACUAGGCUCAAGUGGGGUGAGACAAGGAUACAUUGGGAGAAUGGUUUGCCUCAUGUCCAAAGUUGGGAAUUGCAGCUGAACAUGGUUACUUCUUAAGGUUCUUGUGGUGCAUGAGAAGUAUUCUGCUUCAACGCCGCUUGGUGCUUGGAAACUCCCAACGGGAUUCAUCCAUGUGUUAAGGAGUCAGACAAUUAGACGGGUGCAUGGUAUGAUAUGAGCUCUAAUUGCGAUGUCCGUUAUUGAAGAACGUUUGGUUGCUUUGUGGCAGUCAGAGGAGAUUUUUACAGGAGCUGUCAAAGAGGUCAAGGAGGAGACUGGAGUAAGAAAUGGAUUGUCCUGUUAAUGUUAGACUAAAAGAUUGUUCUGAUAUUUGUUCUUCAGUUAACCGGCUUGCAUUUUUUAUGGGAUUAAUCAUGAAUAUGGUUCCCUCAAUGCAUUUGCAGAUUGACACUGAGUUUAUGGAACUGAUUGCUUUCAGGUAAUGGUUCUACUCAUGCUCUCUGUAUGAGUCAGCUUAGAUGUGUCAAAUAAUAGGAUUUGGUUAUGCACUUGCGCUGCUCAGGUGGGAUGUGCACCUGCUCAUUAUCUGUAUGCAUGAUGUAGUCUGCUACAUCACUUUUUACAUCAAUGGUUCUGUUAGAGAAUCUGAAAAUUUUAUAUCAAUGGUUCUGUUAGAGAACUAACAUGAUAACUGAAUGGCAUUUAUAGAUGAGUUAUUAGCAUCUGUUUUUUAGCACAUAAACAGCUACACCAAGCCUAUCUGAAAAAAAAGAGCUGUUAAAACUACCAAAUUUUUUUGUUAUAGGAACAUGUUUCUAGCAGAAUGAUGCUUACAGUACAGCUUCUAUAUUUUUUUUUUACUAAUUCAGUGCAAUGCACUUUGCUCCCCUGCUAGAUUGUGACCUUUUUAGACAUGCAUGUCUUCCAGUAAGCAAACUAAUAUAAAGUGAUAACUGAAUAUUGGAUUGGUAGUAUGCCUAAAUUGAUUUUUAUUUGCCCUCAAACCUAAUUCCGUGAGAAUGUUCAGCUGUCCCCGAAUGUAAAUAUUCGGCUAUUUUCCUGAAAAAUAAAACUAAUUAAUCAUAAGCCAUUUGUGAAUAUGUUAUGGUAUUUUGGUGGCUUGCUUAAACAUAAGAGGAAUAGUGGGUUUGAUUGCUUAUAGCUUGGUGUCAUGAGUCGUGUCUGCACAGAGUUGGGUAAUAAUUUAAUAUGAUGCCAAUCUUUAAAAAAAUUAAUAUGAUGCAGCUUCUUUUAUUUCUUCCAAUAAUAGAAAUGCAUGACUUCAUGUGUACAUACACAAGGUGCCGAGUAGAUUAGCUGACCUAAGACUUGGUACUAUGCACAGAACUGGCUAACUUUGAUUGCCUAAUGAUUGAUAUGAUAAUCUUUGUUUGGAUAAAUAUAAUUUGCUAAUUUAUUUGGCAACAAUUUUUUUUUGGAUCACAUAACAUGGAAAGCGUUAGAUGCUUUCAUGCGGGGAUCCUACAACCAAUAAUAUAAUGUUGAGGGUUUUGCUAGAUCUCACCAGGUGCUGAAGAAUAGUAGUUAAAGAGAUUCUGACCUUUCUUAUUUACAAAGAAUGGUGCUCCUUUUGCAGUACUUUGAAGACGAGAAGAACCCAGCUAAGAGAGUGGGAGAUUGCUUCAGAAUCAUUAGAGCACUUAUUUUUCUUUACAUCGAUUUCAUUUGGGCUUCAAGUCUUAUUUGCAUCUUGGUUUCUACUUAGUACUAAGGAUGUGUUUAUUUAUUCAUUUUUGUUUCUUUAGCUCCUAUGUUUCUGACUCUUUAGCCUCUAUGUUUCUGCUGUGCUAUCUAUACUCUGAUGUCUAUCUGACUAGCUUGAGAUUAAGAAAUACCAAUGGAACAGGUAACAUGAUGGAACUUUAGUGGAGUGGAAGUUUAAUUAAUUUAAGCUAUUUGGGCUAUUUGCAGCACUGUAGGGCUAGGCUCUUUGCUUUACCUGGUCCGACACUUCAAAUCGAGACAAUGUGGCACUGUCAAUCGGCAUUAUUCCUACACAGCUUUUAUACUUUAAUGGUAUUUCGGUGGGUUUUUGGGUGAUUCUAUUUGCUCGGCUAUGGGUUCGCAGGGUUUGGAGGCGCAGGGCGAUCCGACGGUGAUGGGGCCUGCUCAAGCUGCCCGCCAACAAGUGCUGCAUCAACGGCAACAACUUGGUGAGUCCCCUCGCCCGGAUUCUCGAGCGUGGAUGGGUUUUGGGAGAUGGGAAGCUAGAAGGUGGGUUUGCUUGUUUGAGCUCGCUCGGCUUGCCUUGGAUGCACCCACCGUAAUGCCUCGUUGCUUGCUUUUAGCUGGAACCGUGUAAGUUUAAGUUCAGCGAGUUUGGAAGUGGCGUGAGAUUGAGAAGGCAACGGGUCUGGCUGAGCUUGGCGGUGGCGCACUUCGUGAUGGUGGACAUAAUGGGAUUCAUGAAGGACGAUCUCAGUAGUAGCCUUUUUUUGUUUGGUAUGCUACUAACAUAAUGGGAUUUGUGAAGGAGCAUUAGCAUGUUCGAAUUUUGCUUGCAGUCAUUUACAAAAGAAAUUGAAUUCUGGAAUUAUCGUGUGCAGUUUUAAACUUGAAAUAAUUAACACUGUAACUUUAAUAAUGGUAUUCUUUGAAUACCUAUAUGCUGGUACUAUAUUUUCAGAUACAGGUUGCAAAUAGACUUGGCAUCAAUUACGCUCCUGCCAUGGUUGGAUUUGAUUGAAGUGGCCGAUGCCUUACAGUUUUUUUUUAAAUUGAUGUCAAUACUGAUCUAUCCUAGAGGUAUGUCGUGGCAUGACAAUUUUUUUUUGAAAGUUUGAAUCUUUUCAGAAGUGUAUGUAAUUUGUUCACCUCAUAGUGUCUCUGCUCUUUAAAAUACUGACUAACAUUAUUACUGCUUUUGCUCUCCAGAUACUUUAAAUCUAACAGAACUAAGGUCCCCAUGUUAGGCCAACAAUGUGCCACCUAGCUGAUUUGCGGGCUAUAAGAAACAAAUGUGAGAGUGAACUCAUCAGAUUACUAUAGCAUUUGAUAAAAAAAAUCGCUCCAGUCCACUAUAAUGCCGAUUGCCAAGUGGGGGUAUUUGACGUGUAUGCUUGCCUGUGUUUUUGAAAAUUCUGAACAAGAUGGAUAUCAUAACACUAGCUGCCCAUAAUUGCAAUUAUUUAUUUACUCAUACAUUAUUAAUUCAUUUCAGAGGGAUGUUGCAGGGAAAACAUAAGCGCAUUAUGGAAAAAGAAAAGGACUAUCGGACAAGGACAAAGUGGCUUAUCUCAAUAGUUGUGCCCAGUGUUAUGUUUUUGUUAUUGAAAACAAGUUUCCUAUAUGUGAUGAUAAAUUAUUGUCUACUAAACAAAACUAUUUUUUAAUACUUUUUAAAAAUACAUUAUUGAUUGCGAUUCUUUUUCUGGUUCAUUUGCAGCUCUCUGAGUGGAUAAAAACAAGCUCCUCAGAAUUAGAAAAUGUGAUCAAGACCAUGACAACUUGGUACCAUCCAGAUCGAUGAUGAACUAUAACAUGCUGCGCCCAUGGUGUUCGGCGAAGCAAAACAGAUGGCAGGCUGGGCAAUGUCAAUGGCACGAAGCUCAAAUGGCCCUUGACUCAAUUUAGUCACACAUGAAGCUGCCAUAUCAGUUUUUUGUGUGUUGAGCUAGCAUUCCGGUACUUCAAAAAAGGACCUGUAAUUCGUUCCACAUGAUGCUAUUCUUCGUCCAGAUUGCUCUAUAUAGAGAACAAUGGAACUAGAUGCUUAUUCUGUGAAGAUCUUUAUUGUUAUUGCCUGUC